rfam:Erinaceus europaeus unplaced genomic scaffold scaffold00235, whole genome shotgun sequence
GGAUGUGAGAGUGAUCUGGCUGUUACAUAUGUCACUCCCUGAUCAUCAGGAUUGGUUCAACUGAUCUGGCUGGCGAGGCGGGUGGCCCCAUCCCUCACUGCUUCAUGUGCGUCCCCCUCCUGAAGCUGUGUUCUGGGUCGAAGAGGAUGGUCCUCCCUAAAUAGAAACUGACCAGUCUUCAGUUGAAGGUAAACGAGUAGCUGCGCUACCCUGCUAGAACCUCCAAACAGACUCUCAAGGAAAAAAAUGUCAAAUAAAUAUAAAUAUAGAUAAUUACAGAAAUAAUCGUCAACCCCAUAUGUGUGAC